rnacentral:rRNA from 1 species
UACAGAGGUCCCAAGCGUUGUUCGGAUUCAUUGGGCGUAAAGGGUGCGUAGGUGGUCAGGUAAGUCGGAUGUGAAAUCCCGGGGCUCAACCUCGGAACUGCAUUCGAUACUGCCUGACUGGAGUACUGGAGAGGAGAUUGGAAUUUACGGUGUAGCAGUGAAAUGCGUAGAUAUCGUAAGGAAGACCAGUGGCGAAGGCGGAUCUCUGGACAGUUACUGACACUGAGGCACGAAGGCCAGGGGAGCAAACGGG